GGGGUCUUAGCUCAGCUGGGAGAGCAUCUGCCUUACAAGCAGAGGGUCAUAGGUUCGAGUCCUAUAGGCCCCA
rnacentral:tRNA from 1 species